rnacentral:rRNA from 1 species
AUUGAACGCUGGCGGCAGGCCUAACACAUGCAAGUCGAGCGGAUGAAGGGAGCUUGCUCCUGGAUUCAGCGGCGGACGGGUGAGUAAUGCCUAGGAAUCUGCCUGGUAGUGGGGGAUAACGUCCGGAAACGGGCGCUAAUACCGCAUACGUCCUGAGGGAGAAAUUGGGGGAGCUUCGGACCUCACGCUAUCAGAUGAGCCUAGGUCGGAUUAGCUAGUUGGUGGGGUAAAGGGCUAACAAGGCGACGAUCCGUAACUGGUCUGAGAGGAUGAUCAGUCACACGGGCACUGAGACAGGGCCCAGACUCCUACGGGAGGACGCAGUCGGGAAUAUUGGACAAUGGGGGAAAGCCUGAUACAGCACUGCCGCGUGUGUGAAGAAGGUGCUAGGAUUGUAAAGCAAUUUAAGUUGGGAGGAAGGGCAGUAAGUUAAUACCUUGCUGUAUUGACGUUACCAACAGAAUAAGCACCGGCUAACUCCGUG